GACGAACGCUGGCGGCACGCUUAACACAUGCAAGUCGAACGGAGUUAAGAAGGAGCUUGCUUCAUCUUAACUUAGUGGCGGACGGGUGAGUAACACGUGAGCAACCUGCCUUUGAGAUUGGGAUAGCUUCUGGAAACGGAUGGUAAUACCGAAUAACGUUGUGGAACCGCAUGAUUUUGCAACCAAAGAUUUAUCGCUCAAAGAUGGGCUCGCGGCUGAUUAGAUAGUUGGUGGGGUAACGGCCUACCAAGUCGACGAUCAGUAGCCGGACUGAGAGGUUGAACGGCCACAUUGGGACUGAGACACGGCCCAG
rnacentral:rRNA from 1 species